UGAUAGAGGAUAAAUACUGGAAGGUUUUAUUCUUCAAAGCUUCGGCACCUGAGGAUGGGACUGCGUCGGAUUAGCUUGUUGUCGGGAUAAUUACCCGACAAGGCGAUAAUCCGUACGGGUUGUGAGAGCAAUAGCCCGGAGAUGGAUUCUGAGACAUGAAUCCAGGUCCUACGGGACGCAGCAGGCGCGAAACCUUCACAAUGCCUGAAAGGGUGAUGAGGGAACUCUGAGUGACUUCGCAAUGCGAAGUCUUUUGCCAAGUGCAAAAAGCUCGGUGAAUAAGUGGUGGGCAAGACAGUUGCCAGCCGCCGCGGUAAUAACUGCGCCACGAGUGGUGAUCUCGUUUAUUGGGCUUAAAGCGUUCGUAGCCGGUUUUAUAAGCAUCUGGUGAAAUCCGAUAGUAAACUAUUGGGCUGGCUAGGUGUACUGUAAGACUAGGGACCGGUAGGGGCCGGGAGUACUCCUAGGGUAGGGGUUAAAUCCUUUAAUCCUAGGGGGACUACCAGUGGCGAAGGCGCCCGGCUAGAACGGGUCCGACGGUGAGGGACGAAAGCUGGGGGAGCGAUCCGGAUUAGAUACCCGGGUAGUCCCAGCUGUAAACGAUGCCCGCUUGGUGUGGUGAAACUUUCGUGGUUUUGCCGUACCGUAGC
rnacentral:rRNA from 1 species